rnacentral:rRNA from 1 species
GAUGAACGCUGGCGGCGUGCCUAAUACAUGCAAGUCGAGCGAACGGACGAGAAGCUUGCUUCUCUGAUGUUAGCGGCGGACGGGUGAGUAACACGUGGAUAACCUACCUAUAAGACUGGGAUAACUUCGGGAAACCGGAGCUAAUACCGGAUAAUAUUUUGAACCGCAUGGUUCAAAAGUGAAAGACGGUCUUGCUGUCACUUAUAGAUGGAUCCGCGCUGCAUUAGCUAGUUGGUAAGGUAACGGCUUACCAAGGCAACGAUGCAUAGCCGACCUGAGAGGGUGACCGGCCACACUGGAACUGAGACACGGUCCAGACUCCUACGGGAGGCAGCAGUAGGGAAUUUUCCGCAAUGGGCGAAAGCCUGACGGAGCAACGCCGCGUGAGUGAUGAAGGUCUUCGGAUCGUAAAACUCUGUUAUUAGGGACGAACAUAUGUGUAAGUAACUGUCCACAUCUUGACGGUACCUACACAGAAAGCCACGGCUAACUACGUG